rnacentral:rRNA from 1 species
UAAACAGACCCUUCGGRRUGAUGUUUAUGGAAUGAGCKKCGGACGGGUGAGUAACACGUGGGCAACCUGCCUGUAAGAUCGGGAUAACUCGCGGAAACGUGAGCUAAUACCGGAUAACACUUUUCAUCUCAUGGUGAGAAGAUAAAAGACGGUUUCGGCUGUCACUUACAGAUGGGCCCGCGGCGCAUUAGCUAGUUGGUGAGGUAACGGCUCACCAAGGCGACGAUGCGUAGCCGACCUGAGAGGGUGAUCGGCCACACUGGGACUGAGACACGGCCCAGACUCCUACGGGAGGCAGCAGUAGGGAAUCUUCCGCAAUGGACGAAAGUCUGACGGAGCAACGCCGCGUGAGUGAUGAAGGUUUUCGGAUCGUAAAACUCUGUUGUUAGGGAAGAACAAGUUGGGUAGUAACUGACCCAACCUUGACGGUACCUAACCAGAAAGCCACGGCUAACUACGUGCCAGCAGCCGCGGUAAUACGUAGGUGGCAAGCGUUGUCCGGAAUUAUUGGGCGUAAAGCGCUCGCAGGCGGUCUUUUAAGUCUGAUGUGAAAGCCCACGGCUUAACCGUGGAGGGUCAUUGGAAACUGGAGGACUUGAGUACAGAAGAGGAGAGUGGAAUUCCACGUGUAGCGGUGAAAUGCGUAGAGAUGUGGAGGAACACCAGUGGCGAAGGCGACUCUCUGGUCUGUAACUGACGCUGAGGAGCGAAAGCGUGGGUAGCGAACAGGAUUAGAUACCCUGGUAGUCCACGCCGUAAACGAUGAGUGCUAGGUGUUAGGGGGUUUCCGCCCCUUAGUGCUGAAGUUAACGCAUUAAGCACUCCGCCUGGGGAGUACGGCCGCAAGGCUGAAACUCAAAAGAAUUGACGGGGGCCCGCACAAGCGGUGGAGCAUGUGGGUUUAAUUCGAAGCAACGCGAAGAACCUUACCAGGUCUUGACAUCCUCUGAUACCUUCUAGGAGAUAGAGUUUUUCCCUUUCGGGGUGACA